CGAACGGGUGAGUAAUACAUCGGAACGUGCCUAAUAGUGGGGGAUAACCCGGCGAAAGCCGGACUAAUACCGCAUACGACCUGAGGGUGAAAGCGGGGGAUCGCAAGACCUUGCGCUAUUGGAGCGGCCGAUGUCAGAUUAGCUAGUUGGUGGGGUAAAGGCCUACCAAGGCGACGAUCUGUAGCUGGUCUGAGAGGACGACCAGCCACGCUGGGACUGAGACACGGCCCAG
rnacentral:rRNA from 1 species